GUGCCAGCCGCCGCGGUAAUACGGAGGGUGCAAGCGUUAAUCGGAAUUACUGGGCGUAAAGCGCGCGUAGGUGGUUUGAUAAGCGAGAUGUGAAAGCCCCGGGCUUAACCUGGGAACGGCAUUUCGAACUGUCAGGCUAGAGUGUGGUAGAGGGUAGUGGAAUUUCCUGUGUAGCGGUGAAAUGCGUAGAUAUAGGAAGGAACACCAGUGGCGAAGGCGGCUACCUGGACCAACACUGACACUGAGGUGCGAAAGCGUGGGGAGCAAACAGGAUUAGAUACCCCAG
rnacentral:rRNA from 1 species